rnacentral:lncRNA from 1 species
UAAACAGAUAGAACACAUCCAAUGGAAAAUAAGCUGGGAAGGACACAAAGAUAAGGGAAGGUGUCCUCCAUUUUGUUUUUACUGUGAGACAAUAAGGAGUCCAGUUUCUUCAAAAUGUUCUCUGUUUAUCAUGAUGCAGUAAAAGAAACAUCAUUUAAACACUAAGGAAAUUUGAGCCACAUAAGUCGAGAAUUUUUCUAAUGUAAAAAUACUCACUUGAAGGAAAGAAUUAAUAAUGUUUGAAGAUAGAAAGAAAGAAAAUGAAGAGG